AUUCCUGCAAAAGUCCCAGCUCCCAUCCUCUUAAUGAAUUUUAAUUCAUAGGCCUUUAAUUUAUCUCCAUCUCUAGCCAACUCAGGUGUCAGCUGUGCGCAGGGAUGCAUGGAGUCUCAGUUCCAGGGAGCAUUUAGGAAGCUCUCCCCAUUCCAGAUGCUCACUGGAGGAGAACCUUCUUUUUCUAUAAAAGGAAUCUUACUUGUCUGUUAAAAUUCAUUUUCAACUUACUUGUUAAUUUUGUCUGGGUUUUUUUUUUUUUUUCUUCCCUUCUUUCUCCUCAGAUGACUCCAUUGUGUUACCUGCCUGUGUGUCGAUGGGGGCAGUGAAGGAGGAAGGAAUGGGACACUCAGUGAAUGGUUUACCUCUGCUAGCAACUCAAGUUAAACAUUUAACGAUGGAUGGAUGUUGGUCUGAUUUGAAAUACCACUCAGGGGCCAGACAGAACAAUUACGUGAAGUGGCCAAGUGGUCUGCCCAGUCUUCCUUUCUUGGUCUGAUUUAUACGCGGCAUAAGGAUAUACAAAAACAUGCUCUUGGACAGUGGUCAAGGAUGCCAGUGCCAGCGGAGUAGCAAGAUGGGAUGAAGGCCAGAAAUGGACCGAGCAGCUGCUGGAAGUUAUGUGUGCUGUCCCACUGAUUUCAGAAGCCGUAGUUCUAAAUGACAGAUAGAGAAAUGAAAACGAGAAUCAAGUCCAUGCUCAGCUGGAUACUAGAGACAGUCAAAGCCUCCAGGCCGUUCUGCAAUAAAAACUCAGCAAGUUGGAAGGACACAGCCCAAAGCUUUUCAGACAGCCAGGAAGUUCUGCUGACAGCACUAAAAUCCAGGAUCUUCAUAUAGCAUCUGAGGCAGGUGUGUUUAUCCAGCCGAGCGGAAGCCGGAAACGUGUCCUCUGAGGAUGGCCUCUCAGUUUCCUGUGGGCUGAAGACUUAGUGUGUUUUCCUGCUCCCUGACCUUGAACCCUGACUUUCCUUCUGGAUCUGUGAUCAGAUUGGAUUCUUGGGCUUUGUUUGGAUUGUGGGGUCAAGUCCCUCGGGAGCCUUUGUAUUGUUGCACGCCAAGGAUGCGCCCUCUCAGCAGGAGGGGUGGGGGCUGCUUGGUGAACUGUGAUCUAAAGCCAGUGUCUAAAACAGUCAUAUUUCAGCCCCAGAUCAGCAAGCACAAUCCAUACAUUUAUAUGUUCAUAUAUACAUACACUCACAUAUUCAUAUAUACAUACAUUUCUAUAUUCAUACGAAUGCAUUCAUAGCAAAAUAAUGAUUUGCACCAAAAUACACAGAGGCCCAGUGUUUGAGGAUAACAACCCAGCCCUUCUUUCCAGGUAAGUUUUGCAUCCUGCUAAGGAGAUAGAUCUCAUUAUUUUUAUAAAUUUCUGAACUGAUAUAGCCUAGUAGAUGCCCCAAGUUACACUAACAUUAACUGUUCUCAAAACUUCCAUUUUCAAAAUCCCUUGUGCUUACCCCAACACACACCUGGUGCUAGAAAUUAUUGAGCCAGGAGCCUUGUAUAUGAGAGGUAAGUUCUCUGUCACCAAGCUACAUCUCCAGCUCUCAGGUCCAAAUGUGAACUUGUUGACAUGGGCCUCUGAUUGAACAGACACUGGGGAAGGCCAGAGAAGCCACACUCAUGACUACUUCUUAGAUACACUUGGCCAUAUUAGUUCUUUCAGAAUGAUAACAAAAUGCCCAUUGAUUGGGAGCCUCAUAACAACAGAUAUUUAUGUCUUACACUGUUGGAAGCUGGAAAAUCAAAGGUAACAGUUGCUUGAUUUGGUGUUCAGCAAGGCCCAAGUUCUUGAGCUGCCCUCAGAAGGCAGGAGAGGUGAGGAGUUCUCUGAAGUCCCUUCUAGGACCCUUUCAACCCCAACAGCUCCAUUGUCUAACAUCACCAAAUUUUGGGGGAGAUGGGAGUAUUCCAGACAUUUUGAUUACAGCACACCAAAAUUCAUGACAUUCCCAGGAUCUCCAAACAGUAAUUAUAAUAGAAAUAGGAACAAAAUGACUAGUCAAGAUGAUGUCACACUCCCCUGGAGUGGGUCCCUGAACCCAGUUUGACUGGCACCUUUAGAACAAUAAAUAGGAAAAGCUAGUCAAAACCAGAGACACAGGGUGGAAUGUCAUACAAAGACAUGGUUGGAGUGAAGUAUUUAAACCAAGGUGUGCUAAUGAUUACUGGCAAGGACACAAAUAAAGAAAAGGGAUUGAGACCUCUUGAGAGUCUUUUGAGAUAGGCUACCCCACUGAUGCCUUGAUUUCAGACUUUUGGCCUCUAGCACCAUUUAAGUAUAAAUUCCUUUUAGGUCUUAAGCACCAGUCAAGAACUGUUCAAUAGGUCAGUGCUAGGAAAGGCACAAGGCAGUCUGACCCAACGACUCUAAAACCACUUUGGAGAACCACUGAUCAAAGUUCAUGGCCCACCUCCCUCUUUGGCUUCCAUUCUUUUCUUAUCAUGCCCAUGACAAAGUCUUCCCUGGAAUAGUUCUUAUUGUGUCUAUUUGCAUCUAUCCCGCACCUGAUUAUUUCCCUAAGAAGAAUUUUCACUAGCUCUUGGUUUUUAAACAAUUUUUUGUUUUUUA